rnacentral:rRNA from 1 species
UACGAAGGGGGCGAGCGUUGUUCGGAAUUACUGGGCGUAAAGGGCGCGCAGGCGGCUCUGAAAGUCAGAUGUGAAAGCCCCGGGCUUAACCUGGGAAUUGCAUUUGAUACUCUGGAGCUUGAGUACGGGAGAGGAGAGUGGAAUUCCCAGUGUAGAGGUGAAAUUCGUAGAUAUUGGGAAGAACACCCGUGGCGAAGGCGGCCCACUGGGCCGGUACUGACGCUGAGGCGCGAAGGCGUGGGGAGCGAACGGG